AUGUGCACGGGGAGAGAAACCCGGGGGUGAGACUGCAUUCCUUUAAGGAGAGCACAUCCCGGAGAGAAAAGGACCAGGGGCCCUUGGGAAUGGUCCAGGCAAGUGAAGAAGGUGUGACUCCUUCUCCAGUGCUAAGGCACUCCCCCGAAUGACUUAGAAUAAAUGACACUUCCACAAAAGAAAGGCAUAAUUUAUACCCUGAAGGAACACAGAGAAUGCCUGAAGGUGACCUGCACAUUAAAUGUUUUCAAAAGAGACCCCAGAAGGUAUCUCUGAAGCUGACAGAAAACCUUUGACACCAUCAGGUCUAGAAUUUUACAUCGAAGAGCAGGACUUCUGAUAAUGAUUGCUACCUCUGAGUGGGAAUGAAUUGGAAAGAUCAAUUUGGAUAUAAAUCACAUUAGAAACCACUGAAAACAAGAAAAGCCAAUGUUUGAGUUCCUUUUCCAAAGACAAUUCCUUAUUUGCCAGCACCAAAAUACUCCUUGAUAAUGCUAGCUCUCUGGUAGCUACUCUUUGUACUGGUGACAGGAUGCUGUGGAAAUUUCUGUGCAAAUAACAUCAGCCAUUCUUUACCACACCACUAGUAAGUUACCACACAGGAAAUCAGCAUGCUCAGUGCACUGCACUUCUUUGCCCCUUCCCCAGAGCAACCUUGGUGUUUUAUGAUAAC